rnacentral:rRNA from 1 species
UGGGGAAUUUUGGACAAUGGGCGAAAGCCUGAUCCAGCAAUGCCGCGUGUGUGAAGAAGGCCUUCGGGUUGUAAAGCACUUUUGUCCGGAAAGAAAUCCUUGGCUCUAAUACAGUCGGGGGAUGACGGUACCGGAAGAAUAAGCACCGGCUAACUACGUGCCAGCAGCCGCGGUAAUACGUAGGGUGCAAGCGUUAAUCGGAAUUACUGGGCGUAAAGCGUGCGCAGGCGGUUUGCUAAGACCGAUGUGAAAUCCCCGGGCUCAACCUGGGAACUGCAUUGGUGACUGGCAGGCUAGAGUAUGGCAGAGGGGGGUAGAAUUCCACGUGUAGCAGUGAAAUGCGUAGAGAUGUGGAGGAAUACCGAUGGCGAAGGCAGCCCCCUGGGCCAAUACUGACGCUCAUGCACGAAAGCGUGGGGAGCAAACAGGAUUAGAUACCCCUGGUAGUCCACGCCCUAAACGAUGUCAACUAGUUGUUGGGGAUUCAUUUCCUUAGUAACGUAGCUAACGCGUGAAGUUGACCGCCUGGGGAGUACGGUCGCAAGAUUAAAACUCAAAUGAAUUGACGGGGUC